GAGAACCUGAUGACAGUUUGACAAAUAUUGCUUCUGAAACAAAUGCGGACUCGAUUGUUGAUUCUUUAAAUGUUAAUGCUAUCCAAAUUUCUAAUCCACCUACAACACCUUCGAGUAGUUAUCAAUCUUCCGGGUUUCUUUCUCAUAGAACCCAGCGGAGCUUUGGCAGUAUUCAAGCGACUGAAAUAGAGGAUAUCUGCAUUUACUCUGCUUUAAGGGAAGAUGAUAGAAUAUUGACUAAAAUUGUCAACGAUUGGAUAGCGAUGUACAAAGCCGAUUACUACAAAGCAUUGUCAGUUUUAAUCAGUUUUAUUUUGAAUGCUAGUGGAUACAAUGGCAUUCAAGUGACUUCAGGAAUGCUAAAAACAUUAGAUCAUUCAACUAUAGCAACAAAAAUCGAAGCUGAUUUUA